CACUCAUCAUCACCCUUGUUAGCUUUUCCCUUCUUCUUCGCGCCACUCAUCACCCCAAAUCAGAGAAAGGGUCCGCCAUCACCACACCACUCACGGCGUCACCACUCACCUCCAGGAAGACUCUACACUAACUCAUCUUCACCACUCACCACGCCGUCACUCAUCUUCACCGCACCGUCGCUUCUCUUCGUUGUGCGCUCACAUCAGGAAGACGUUGCGCUCAACUGAAAGCCUCUCUUCAUUUGCUCACCAUCGUCGAGAAGGAGAACUCAUUCUUCUAGGUUCGUUCACCACAAGCCCCAGGUUCGUUCGUCUAUUGUCUUUUCUUGCGAUUUUGUGUAUCAAGCAGCGGAGGAGAUAACUCAAAUCAAAACAUCAAGCAGCAACGAGACUGUUGAUCGUGGGAAGAUCAGGUCGGAAUUUAGAUUAGAU